CGCCCCUCGUCUACCAGUAAAUGGGGGGUCGUGCCUGCUCAAUGAUUUAAAUAUUAAAUAGCAGCGGUAUCCUGACCGUUCGAAGGUAGUGUGAUUAGUCUAUUAAUUGUUGGCUAAUGAAUGGCUUGACGCGGUACUAUUGUCUCAGGCGCAAUAACUGGAAGUUAACUUGUAAGUGAAAAGGCUUACAUUAUUAAAAAAGACGAUAAGACCCCAUUGAGUUUUAGUUUAUUCAUCUUAAUUAUUGAUGUUAAUACUUUAGUUGGGGCAACUGAGAAACACUGAAAUUUCCCAUGCACAUAAUUAUUUAGAUCCAUUACGCUAGUGAGAAAAAGAUUAAAUUACCAUGGGGAUAACAGCAUAAUUUUUUUCUGGAGUACGUAUUUGGAAAGAAGUUUGUGACCUCGAUGUUGGACUAGGGAACCUUCUUGGUGUGAGUGUCUAAUGAAGUGGGUCUGUUCGACCCUUGAAUCCCU
rnacentral:rRNA from 1 species